UGGCCCGUCUUUGGACACUGUGCUAUCUAACCUCCAAACAAGCUUCAAUGCCAUACAACACUCCUUCCGUGGCCUCCAACUGCUCUUAAACGCUAGUAAAACCAAAUGCAUGCUUUUCAACCGGUCGCUGCCUGCACCCGCAUGCCCGACUAGCAUCACCACCCUGGAUGGUUCCGACCUAGAAUAUGUGGACGUCUAUAAGUACCUAGGUGUCUGGCUAGACUGCAAACUCUCCUUCCAGACUCAUAUCAAACAUCUCCAAUCGAAAAUCAAAUCAAGAGUCGGCUUUCUAUUCCGCAACAAAGCCUCCUUCACUCACGCCGCCAAGCUUACCCUAGUAAAACUGACUAUCCUACCGAUCCUCGACUUCGGCGAUGUCAUCUACAAAAUGGCUUCCAACACUCUACUCAGCAAACUGGAUGCAGUCUAUCACAGUGCCAUCCGUUUCGUCACUAAAGCACCUUAUACCACCCACCACUGCGACUUGUAUGCUCUAGUCGGCUGGCCCUCGCUACAUAUUCGUCGCCAGACCCACUGGCUCCAGGUCAUCUACAAGUCCAUGCUAGGUAAAGCUCCGCCUUAUCUCAGCUCACUGGUCACGAUGGCAACACCCAUCCGUAGCACGCGCUCCAGCAGGUGUAUCUCACUGAUCAUCCCUAAAGCCAACACCUCAUUUGGCCGCCUUUCGUUCCAGUACUCUGCUGCCUGUGACUGGAACGAAUUGCAAAAAUCGCUGAAGUUGGAGACUUUUAUCUCCCUCACCAACUUCAAACAUCAGCUAUCUGAGCAGCUAACCGAUCGCUGCAGCUGUACAUAGUCUAUUGGUAAAUAGCCCACCCUUUUUCACCUACCUCAUCCCCAUACUGUUUUUAUUUAUUUACUUUUCUGCUCUUUUGCACACCAAUAUCUCUACCUGUACAUGACCAUCUGAUCAUUCAUCACUCCAGUGUUAAUCUGCAAAUUUGUAAUUAUUUGCCUACCUCCUCAUGCCUUUUGCACACAUUGUAUAUAGACUCCCCCUUUGGUUUCUAC
rnacentral:lncRNA from 1 species